rnacentral:misc_RNA from 1 species
AUUAAUUAUUGCUCUACUAGCUGUUGGUUUUAAAUGGAGACAGAUAACAGCGAAGUCAAGUCCAAAAUGGAAGAUUAUGAAGUCAUAGAACAGAUUGGGAGAGGAGCUUUUGGUUCUGCUUUUCUUGUUCUUCAUAAAGCUGAGAAUAAGAAGUAUGUUUUGAAGAAGAUUCGCCUGGCAAAGCAGACGGAGAAGUUCAAGGAAACAGCUCACCAGGAGAUGGACUUGAUUGCAAAACUUAAUAACCCAUAUAUCGUGGAGUAUAAAGAUUCUUGGGUGGACAAGGGAAGUUGUAUAUGCAUAGUUACGGCCUAUUGUGAAGGUGGAGACAUGGCUGAGAUUAUAAAGAAGGCCAGAGGCAUUUUUUUACCUGAAGAGAAGCUCUGCAAAUGGUUGACUCAGUUAUUGCUAGCUGUGGACUACCUACACUCUAACCGUGUCCUUCACAGAGAUCUUAAGUGCUCCAACAUAUUCCUUACAAAGGACAAUGAUGUUCGCCUCGGUGACUU